rnacentral:rRNA from 1 species
GAUGAACGCUAGCUACAGGCUUAACACAUGCAAGUCGAGGGACCGGCGCACGGGUGAGUAACACGUAUCCAACCUGCCCUUUACUCGGGGAUAGCCUUUCGAAAGAAAGAUUAAUACCCGAUAUAAAGGAUGGGGAUGCGUUGCAUUAGGUUGUUGUGGAGGUAAAGGCCCACCAAGCCUUCGAUGGAUAGGGGUUAUGAGAGGAAGGUCCCCCACAUUGGAACCGAGGCACGGUCCAAACUCCUACCGGAGGCAGCAGUUGGGAAUAUUGGUCAAUGGGCGGUUGCCUGAAACAGCCAAGUAGCGUGAAGGAUGAAGGCUUAUGGGUCGUAAACUUCUUUUAUAUAAGAAUAUGUAUUAUAUGAAUAAGGAUCGGCUAACUCCGUGCCAGCAGCCGCGGUAAUUC